rnacentral:rRNA from 1 species
AGUGAACGCUGGCGGUAGGCCUAACACAUGCAAGUCGAACGGCAGCACAGGAGAGCUUGCUCUCUGGGUGGCGAGUGGCGGACGGGUGAGGAAUACAUCGGAAUCUACUCUGUCGUGGGGGAUAACGUAGGGAAACUUACGCUAAUACCGCAUACGACCUACGGGUGAAAGCAGGGGACCUUCGGGCCUUGCGCGAUUGAAUGAGCCGAUGUCGGAUUAGCUAGUUGGCGGGGUAAAGGCCCACCAAGGCGACGAUCCGUAGCUGGUCUGAGAGGAUUAUCAGCCACACUGGAACUGAGACACGGUCCAGACUCCUACGGGAGGCAGCAGUGGGGAAUAUUGGACAAUGGGCGCAAGUCUGAUCCAGCCAUACCGCGUGGGUGAAGAAGGCCUUCGGGUUGUAAAGCCCUUUUGUUGGGAAAGAAAUCCAGCUGGCUAAUACCCGGUUGGGAUGACGGUACCCAAAGAAUAAGCACCGGCUAACUUCGUGCCAGCCGCCGCGGUAA